AGCUUUUCGAAUCCGUGCUGAUAUUUCGUCACACAUCAACCCAUUUGAGCUGAUCAAACUUCCAAGAUAAGUGAAGUU
rnacentral:pre_miRNA from 1 species